CAACAUUAGUUAUGUCAGAUUUAGUAGAAGCAGAUCUUAACAUUGUGAAACACACGGCUGUCACACCGGGGGGGGUGGAGUAGCAACUGACCCCUCACCCUCCUCUUUGGAUUUGAGACAAGGUUAAUAUCAAAUGUAUCCUUCAUAGAGAAAGAGGAGAUCUGAGGAUGAUGGGAGUGAAGAGAGCAUGAGUGUUGCUGAGAGCAGUGUGGAAAUGAGAGAAGGAACUGGAAAGUAGGCCGAGCAAUGCAGACCAGUUUUUGCCAGAGGACCCGUGACUAUGGCCAGAUAAAUUAAGAUAUGAUCAGAGAGACACCGUAGUACACAGGUUGGCAAGUAAAGGUACAGAGAAAACA